AAUCAACGCUGGCGGCGUGCCUAACACAUGCAAGUCGAGCGCGAAAGGGGAGCAAUCCCCAAGUAGAGCGGCGAACGGGUGAGUAACGCGUGGGUAAUCUGCCUCCGAGUGGGGAACAACACCGGGAAACUGGUGCUAAUACCGCAUGACAUCGUUGGACCUUCGGAUCUGACGAUCAAAGCCGGGGACCGCAAGGCCUGGCGCUUGGAGAGGAGCCCGCGUCCGAUUAGCUAGUUGGUGGGGUAAUGGCCCACCAAGGCUACGAUCGGUAGCCGGCCUGAGAGGGCGGACGGCCACACUGGGACUGAGACACGGCCCAGACUCCUACGGGAGGCAGCAGUGGGGAAUUUUUCGCAAUGGGCGAAAGCCUGACGAAGCAACGCCGCGUGGAGGA
rnacentral:rRNA from 1 species